GAUGAAGAACGCAGUGAAAUGCGAUAAGUAAUGUGAAUUGCAGAAUUCAGUGAAUCAUCGAAUCUUUGAGCGCACAUUGCGCCCAUUAGCAUUCUAGUGGGCAUGCCUGUUCGAGCGUCAUUUCAACCCUUAAGCCCUGUUGCUUAGCGUUGGGAGCCUACAGUACUGUAGCUCCCCAAAGUUAGUGGCGGAGUCGGUUUCACACUCUAGACGUAGUAAUUUUUUCUCGUCUGUAGUUGAGCCGGUCCCCUGCCGUAAAACACCCAAUUUAUCAAGGUUGACCUCGGAUCAGGUAGGAAUACCCGCUGAACUUAAGCAUAUCAAUAAGCGGAGGA
rnacentral:misc_RNA from 1 species